CUGACCUCAAAUCAGGUAGGACCACCCGCUGAACUUAAGCAUAUCAAUAAGCGGAGGAAAAGAAACUAACAAGGAUUCCCCUAGUAACUGCGAGUGAAGCGGGAAGAGCUCAAAUUUAAAAUCGGGCGGCCGGGAGGCCUUCCCGAGUUGUAGUCUGGAGAAGCGCUUUCGGCGCCGGACCGUGUACAAGUCCCCUGGAACGGGGCGUCGUAGAGGGUGAGAAUCCCGUCUCUGACACGGACGCCCGGUGCCCUGUGAUGCGCUCUCGAAGAGUCGAGUUGUUUGGGAAUGCAGCUCAAAAUGGGUGGUAAAUUCCAUCUAAAGCUAAAUAUUGGCGAGAGACCGAUAGCGAACAAGUACCGUGAGGGAAAGAUGAAAAGCACUUUGAAAAGAGAGUUAAACAGUACGUGAAAUUGCUGAAAGGGAAACGCUUGAAGCCAGUCGCGUCGUCCGGGACUCAGCCUCGCCAGGCGCACUUCCCGGUCGACGGGCCAGCAUCGAUUUUGACCGUCGGAGGAGGGCGGGAGGAACGUGGCACCCUCGGGUGUGUUAUAGCCUCCCGUCGGACGCGACGGUCGGGAUCGAGGAACUCGGCA
rnacentral:rRNA from 1 species